GGAGAGCGCGGGAGUCUCUUCCUGUGCUGGGGGCUCUUGGAGGGGAAAGUCCCCAUCUCAAAUGUGUGAGAGUAUGACUGACCAAAUAAACUUGGAAAAUACAGAGAAAUAGAAAACAGAAAACUAAAGUCACCUUCAACCUCUACACCCUGAAACAACUAUUGGAAUAAAAGAUGAAAGAGAAGAAUGUAAGGAGGACUGUAAUAUUUCACACAGGAAACCAUCCAGCUUACUUUCCAGGAGGACAUGAAAUGAUCAUUUCAGAGAGCUGCCACCUAUGUACUGGGAGGUUGUCAGCACUUAACAGAUCUGGAGACUGAGAAGAUCAAGAUCAAGGUGCUUGCAGAUCCUAAGUCUGGGAAGGGCCUACUUGCUGGCUGUCAUCCCUUAUCCUCAUCUUGUAGAUAACAGAGAGAGGAGCCAAGUUCUCUCAUGUCUCUUUUUUUUAAAAUUAAAAAAACUUUUU